ACUCCUACGGGAGGCAGCAGUGGGGAAUAUUGCACAAUGGGGGAAACCCUGAUGCAGCCAUGCCGCGUGUGUGAAGAAGGCCCUUGGGUUGUAAAGCACUUUCAGUAGGGAGGAAGGUAGUGUAGUUAACACCUGCCAUUAUUUGACGUUACCUACAGAAGAAGCACCGGCUAACUCCGUGCCAGCACGCCGUCGGUAAUACGGAGGGUGCGAGCGUUAAUCGGAAUUACUGGGCGUAAAGCGCAUGCAGGCGGCCUGUUAAGUCAGAUGUGAAAGCCCGGGGCGUUAACCUCGGAAUUGCAUUUGAAACUGGCAGGCUAGAGUCUUGUAGAGGGGGUAGAAUUUCAGGUGUAGCGGUGAAAUGCGUAGAGAUCUGAAGGAAUACCAGU
rnacentral:rRNA from 1 species